GACGAAGGGGGCUAGCGUUGUUCGGAAUUACUGGGCGUAAAGCGCGUGUAGGCGGUUGCCCAAGGCGGGGGUGAAAGCCUUGAGCUCAACUCAAGAAAUGCACUCGGUACUGGGUGACUAGAGGACCGGAGAGGAUAGUGGAAUUCCCAGUGUAGUGGUGAAAUACGUAGAGAUUGGGAAGAACACCAGUGGCGAAGGCGGCUAUCUGGACGGUUUCUGACGCUAAGACGCGAAAGCGUGGGGAGCAAACAGG
rnacentral:rRNA from 1 species